GUGUGAAUGGUGUUAAGCACCAAGGACAGGUCGCUUGCCUGUGUGGAUGGUGUUAAGCACCAAGGUCAGGUCGCUUGCCU
rnacentral:pre_miRNA from 1 species